CCUACGGGUGGCAGCAGUGAGGAAUAUUGGUCAAUGGGCGGGAGCCUGAACCAGCCAAGCCGCGUGAGGGAAGAAGGUACAGCGUAUCGUAAACCUCUUUUGUCAGGGAACAAAGGCGGGGACUAGUCCCCGGAUGAGGGUACCUGAAGAAAAAGCAUCGGCUAACUCCGUGCCAGCAGCCGCGGUAAUACGGAGGAUGCGAGCGUUAUCCGGAUUUAUUGGGUUUAAAGGGUGCGCAGGCGGCCUGUUAAGUCAGCGGUAAAAGCCCGGGGCUCAACCCCGGCGAGCCGUUGAAACUGGCGGGCUAGAGUUGGAGAGAGGUACGCGGAAUGCGCGGUGUAGCGGUGAAAUGCUUAGAUAUCGCGCAGAACCCCGAUUGCGAAGGCAGCAUACCGGCUCCACACUGACGCUGAGGCACGAAAGCGUGGGUAUCGAACAGGAUUAGAUACCCGAGUAGUC
rnacentral:rRNA from 1 species